rnacentral:rRNA from 1 species
CCUACGGGAGGCAGCAGUGAGGAAUAUUGGUCAAUGGACGAGAGUCUGAACCAGCCAAGUAGCGUGAAGGAUGACUGCCCUAUGGGUUGUAAACUUCUUUUAUAAAGGAAUAAAACGAGGCACGUGUGCCUUUUUGCAUGUACUUUAUGAAUAAGGAUCGGCUAACUCCGUGCCAGCAGCCGCGGUAAUACGGAGGAUCCGAGCGUUAUCCGGAUUUAUUGGGUUUAAAGGGAGCGUAGAUGGGUGGGUAAGUCAGUUGUGAAAGUUUGCGGCUCAACCGUAAAAUUGCAAUUGAUACUGGCAGUCUUGAGUACAGUUGAGGUAGGCGGAAUUCGUGGUGUAGCGGUGAAAUGCUUAGAUAUCACGAAGAACCCCGAUUGCGAAGGCAGCUUACUAAACUGUGACUGACAUUGAUGCUCGAAAGUGUGGGUAGCAAACAGGAUUAGAUACCCCAGUAGUC